GACGAACGCUGGCGGCGUGCUUAACACAUGCAAGUCGAACGGAAAGGCCCUGCUUUUGGGGGGUGCUCGAGUGGCGAACGUGUGAGUAACACGUGUGAAACCUGCCCUUGACUUUGGUAUAACUUCGGGAAACUGGGUCUAAUAGCGGAUAGGAGCUCCUGCUGCAUGGUGGGGGUGGGAAGGUUUCGGCGGGUGGGGAUGGACUCGCGGCUUAUCAGGUUGUUGGUGGGGUAGUGGCGUACCAAGGCUUUGACGGGUAGCCGGCCUGAGAGGGUGACCGGCCACAUUGGGACUGAGAUACGGCCCAGACUGCUACGGGAGGCAGCAGUGGGGAAUAUUGCACAAUGGGCGGAAGCCUGAUGCAGCAACGCCGCGUGCGGGAUGACGGCCUUCGGGUUGUAAACCGCUUUCGCCUGUGACGAAGCGUGAGUGACGGUAAUGGGUAAAGAAGCACCGGCUAACUAUGUG
rnacentral:rRNA from 1 species